rnacentral:rRNA from 1 species
GUCGACGGCAGCACGGACUUCGGUCUGGUGGCGAGUGGCGAACGGGUGAGUAAUAUAUCGGAACGUGCCCAGUCGUGGGGGAUAACGUAGUGAAAAUUACGCUAAUACCGCAUACGAUCUAAGGAUGAAAGCGGGGGAUCGCAAGACCUCGCGCGAUUGGAGCGGCCGAUAUCAGAUUAGGUAGUUGGUGAGGUAAAGGCUCACCAAGCCAACGAUCUGUAGCUGGUCUGAGAGGACGACCAGCCACACUGGAACUGAGACACGGUCCAGACUCCUACGGGAGGCAGCAGUGGGGAAUUUUGGACAAUGGACGCAAGUCUGAUCCAGCCAUUCCGCGUGCAGGACGAAGGCCUUCGGGUUGUAAACUGCUUUUGUACAGAACGAAAAGGUUUCUAUUAAUACUAGGGGCUCAUGACGGUACUGUAAGAAUAAGCACCGGCUAACUACGUGCCAGCAGCCGCGGUAAUACGUAGGGUGCAAGCGUUAAUCGGAAUUACUGGGCGUAAAGCGUGCGCAGGCGGUUAUAUAAGACAGAUGUGAAAUCCCCGGGCUCAACCUGGGAACUGCAUUUGUGACUGUAUAGCUAGAGUACGGUAGAGGGGGAUGGAAUUCCGCGUGUAGCAGUGAAAUGCGUAGAUAUGCGGAGGAACACCGAUGGCGAAGGCAAUCCCCUGGACCUGUACUGACGCUCAUGCACGAAAGCGUGGGGAGCAAACAGGAUUAGAUACCCUGGUAGUCACGCCCU